UACGUAGGGGGCAAGCGUUAUCCGGAAUUACUGGGUGUAAAGGGAGCGUAGACGGCAAUGCAAGUCCGGAGUGGAAUGCGGCAGCUCAACUGCCGAACUGCUCUGGAAACUGUAUGGCUUGAGUGCAGGAGGGGUAAGCGGAAUUCCUGGUGUAGCGGUGAAAUGCGUAGAUAUCAGGAGGAACACCGGUGGCGAAGGCGGCUUACUGGACUGUAACUGACGUUGAGGCUCGAAAGCGUGGGGAGCAAACAGG
rnacentral:rRNA from 1 species